rnacentral:rRNA from 1 species
UACGUAGGGUGCAAGCGUUAAUCGGAAUACUGGGCGUAAAGCGUGCGCAGGCGGUGAUGUAAGACAGUUGUGAAAUCCCCGGGCUCAACCUGGGAACUGCAUCUGUGACUGCAUCGCUGGAGUGCGGCAGAGGGGGAUGGAAUUCCGCGUGUAGCAGUGGAAUGCGUAGAUAUGCGGAGGAACACCGAUGGCGAAGGCAAUCCCCUGGGCCUGCACUGACGCUCAUGCACGAAAGCGUGGGGAGCAAACAGGAUA